UACGUAGGGUGCAAGCGUUGUCCGGAAUUAUUGGGCGUAAAGAGCUCGUAGGCGGUCUGUCGCGUCGGCUGUGAAAACCCGAGGCUCAACCUCGGGCCUGCAGUCGAUACGGGCAAACUAGAGUACUGCAGGGGAGACUGGAAUUCCUGGUGUAGCGGUGAAAUGCGCAGAUAUCAGGAGGAACACCGGUGGCGAAGGCGGCUCUCUGGGACGGUACUGACGCUGAGACGCGAAAGCGUGGGGAGCGAACAGG
rnacentral:rRNA from 1 species